rnacentral:rRNA from 1 species
UACGGGGGGGGCAAGCGUUGUUCGGAAUUACUGGGCGUAAAGGGCUCGUAGGCGGCCAACUAAGUCCGACGUGAAAUCCCCAGGCUUAACCUGGGAACUGCGUCGGAUACUGGAUGGCUUGAAUCCGGGAGAGGGAUGCGGAAUUCCAGGUGUAGCGGUGAAAUGCGUAGAUAUCUGGAGGAACACCGAUGGCGAAGGCAGGUCUCUGGGCCACUACUGACGCUGAGAAGCGAAAGCAUGGGGAGCGAACAGG